GGUGGUGUGGUGUAAUGGUAGCACGUAGUGUUGUGGUUUCUCCUCUCAGGGUCUUCACGAAGUCGAGUCUUUACAGUCUCUCUACAAUCCCGCUUCAAUCUGGGUUCGAUUCCCAGCACCGCCA
rnacentral:tRNA from 1 species